rnacentral:rRNA from 1 species
UACAGAGGUCCCAAGCGUUGUUCGGAUUCACUGGGCGUAAAGGGUGCGUAGGUGGCUUGGUAAGUUUGAUGUGAAAUCUCCGGGCUUAACCCGGAAAUGGCAUUGAAUACUAUUGAGCUGGAGGUUUGGAGGGGGGACUGGAAUUCUCGGUGUAGCAGUGAAAUGCGUAGAUAUCGAGAGGAACACCAGUGGCGAAGGCGAGUCCCUGGACAACACCUGACACUGAGGCGCGAAAGCCAGGGGAGCAAACGGG